rnacentral:rRNA from 1 species
GGGGGGGGGGGGGGGGGGGCGGAGGGCGGGCGGGGCGGGCGGGGCCGGCGGGGCGGGUGGCGCACGGGGGCGUGGCGCGUGGGAAUCUGCCCGUGGGUUCGGACUCACAGUUGGAGCCGACUGCUAGUACCGGAUGAGGACGUAAGUCCAAAGGUGUAUCGCCCAGGGAUGAGCCCGCGUAGGAUUAGCUAGUUGGUGGGGUACAGGCCUACCAAGGCGACGAUCCUUAGCUGGUCUGAGAGGAUGAUCAGCCACACUGGGACUGAGACACGGCCCAGACUCCUACGGGAGGAAGCAGUGGGGAAGAUUGGACAAUGGGCGAAAGCCUGAUCCAGCAAUGCCGCGUGAGUGAUGAAGGCCUUAGGGUUGUAAAGCUCUUUUACCCGGGAUGAUAAUGACAGUACCGGGAGAAUAAGCCCCGGCUAACUCCGUG